rnacentral:ncRNA from 1 species
UGCUUAUCAAGAAAGACCGAGGGACCGGACCCAACGAAGUCUUAGCAACCCUUUUUUGGCACAACGUGUCUGAACAAUAACCAAUAAGCCCUGAUAAUUGAUUAUUGUCUGCACGCUUUUUGCUAAAAAAAACGGUGCUACGUUCCACCCCAGCCGAUGGGGACAGAUAAGUU